UAGUUAGGCCGUUAGGAUUUGGGCGUCACCUCCCCCGGGUAUAAGAACCAGUUGCCGCACCCAUCUGGCUAUCGUGCGUCGUCACCUUCGACCGGGUGUAGAAAGCCGAGAGGGAGGAGAGAGAUCGCCGUUGGCAAUGAUACAUGGAUGCGUCGCUAAAGCGGCCUUCAUACUUGGUCCAGGGAGUAACCCAGAUCCCAUGGAAGAUGUACGCAUGAAGCUAUGGGCGCACUUACUGUUCGGCGGGCUCGGAAUUUUUCUCCGGUGCCAACCACCCUCCGUGGACCCGCGCCACGACGAGAGCAAGCACCUCUAUGGCAUAAUCGACGGUACAUAAAAGCAAAUUGAGCUUGAAAUAGGGCAUAAUACAAAUCUAUAUGGUACCAAGUGAAAAGGGUAAGCUCCGGACACUUAGUCAAUUAUUUUGGGUACUAAUCAUAUUUUUCUAAGUGCUAGGGACUUUACGAAGUCAAGCCAAAAGGAGCAAAAAAGAUUCUAAAUAGAAAAGAGAAAGUUGGACUACUAUGUGUAGCACCGGACGGUCCGAUGCCACCCACCGGACAGUCCGGUGUGCAUCGGACAGUUCGAUGCACGGUCCGACCAAAUGGCUGCUCUGGAGAAAAAUCAGCAAGCGUAGGCUAUAAAUCAUCAGAAAGUCCGCACGGAGCGCGGGACAAUCCAAUGUGCCAGCCGACCAAUGACUAGUAGACACGUCGGCCUGGGACCAACGAUCACUUGGAGCACCGGACAAUCUGGUUUUCUGGUACCACCCACCGGACGGUGUGGUGCCCCUCAGAACGAGGUCACCACAACGUGGAGUAGGCAUUGGCCGAACCACGGGAUAAAAUCAUUGUGUAACUUGUGUAUUUCUUUAUUGUGAUUGUUUUCUUCCAUAGAGUUCUCACAUAUUCACUUGUGUUAUUGUUCCUAAGUUUGAUAUAUAUCUUAAAGGAACAAUCAAAUGAAGAGUUCUCUUCUUCUCUCUACCUCUAUUCAUCUCAGGUUGGUUUUGGUUC